rnacentral:rRNA from 1 species
GUGCCGGCCGCCGCGGUAAUACGGAGGACCCAAGCGUUAACCGGAAUCAUUGGGUUUAAAGGGUCCGUAGGCGGGUCGAUAAGUCAGUGGUGAAAUGCAGGGGCUCAACUCCGGCACUGCCAUUGAUACUGUCGGUCUUGAAUUAUUGUGAAGUGGCUAGAAUAUGUAGUGUAGCGGUGAAAUGCUUAGAUAUUACAUAGAAUACCGAUUGCGAAGGCAGGUCACUAACAAUAUAUUGACGCUGAGGGACGAAAGCGUGGGUAGCGAACAGGAUUAGAAACCCUAGUAGUCC